UCAGUUCAGCUGUGUUUUGUCUCCCGAUUUGUUUUUUUCUCCUGCUUAGCUUUUGUGUCAGUAAAGUCAAACUUAAACUUAAACUCUAAACGUCUGAGACUUUGUGUUUUCAGUCCUGUCAUGUCAUGAACUUUGAACUGUAGAGCCACAUUUUGAUCUGGAGUGACUCUGUGUGGUCUCUUGAUUCCAUGAAAACGUGUGGAGCUUCAGUAAAGAAUCACGACUGGAUUUAUAGACUUUUAUUUUCUUUAACUUCAUUCAUCCUCACUGAUUCUUCUGGAAUCUUCCCACCUGGAGCCAAUGGAUCGGUGACUUUGUCUUCACCUGGAUUUCUCCUCAGCUCUCCUGGUUCUCUUCAUGUCCUCCUCGUCUUCCUCUCCUUCAUGGUCACUGUGCUUACAAUCCGGAUGAAGUCCCCCACUGGCUGCCGGUGGUCAAAGCUUUCCUUUUUUUGUGGACUCUACCUGGAGGAGCGUUUGCCUAUCCAACCCAUCACGAUUCCUCCCCGAUCCUCCAAUCUAAAAAUGCUCUGACUGCUGUCAGCUGCUGACGACAAGCCUGUGGCAAGGAAACUGAAAAUGAAAACAUCAUCUGAAACAUGGGGCUCAAGUGCUCUUGGGGAGAAACCGCUUUGUACUUACCUCCGCGGCUCACCUAUCUUCCGCCGCUCUCUCAUCCAAUCACAGCCCCCCACCUGAUCAAACCCCACGACCUUGGUGAGUGAAACAAGAACAUUUUCUCACAACAUUCAUGAGUGUGGAGAGUUCUCAACCAACUACCACUUUUUUUUUCUUUUCUAUUUUUUAGCCCUUAUGUCUGCAUUACAUUAGCUCAUUUGGCUAAUUUGGUAUCUACUGUGGAUUUUUAAGCUAAUUUAUCAUUUAGCUAAUAUUUUAGCAACACAUUCACUCUUUUGACUAAUAUGGCAAUCCUUUUUUUUAGGCAAAUUUGGUUUUUACCUAAUAUUUUAGCAACAUGCGAUUUGUUUUGUCUAAUUUAACACCUACUGAAGUUUUUUGGGCAAUUUUUAAGUUUAGCUAACAU